GACAUUAAAUUGUGAGGGUUGGAGUUUUGAAGUACACAUUUUUUGAUAUUGCAAUUAAAGUAAAAUUAAAAAGAAAA
ensembl:misc_RNA Gm56477 predicted gene, 27645